rnacentral:lncRNA from 1 species
GUGGUCAUGGCGAUAAUAGAGGGUCUUCGUCCUGGCCCGCUAUUUGGUUCCCUCUCCAAAAGAAUCCCUGAAACCUUGUCAGCACUCCAGAGUAAGGCUGACAAGUGCAUUGCGGCAGAAGAGUUAGUUGAGGCCAAACGAAAGAGGUGAAGAGUAAAAGGUAUGAGCGAGAUGGGAGGGCACAAAUCAAUGAACGACGAGCCUAAAAAUUAAGAAUGAGGAUUUUGUGAAGUGGCUUAGAAAUUAAGAGGGGAUAUUCUCUUGAUGUUGCCUUCUCUCAACACCCCUAUAGCCUAGGUACUCAAGGAAAUUAAGAAUGAGGACUUUAUGAAGUGGCUUGGGAAGAUCAAGACUAAUCCUCUCAAAAGAAACAAGAACAAGUACUAUGAGUUCCACAAGGAUCAUGGUCAUAAUAUAGAAGAUUACUUUCAAUUAAAGGAGCAGAUAGCCGACUUAAUCAAGAGGGGAUAUUUGAGGAAAUUUGUAGUUAAUCGCCAGUGGCCCGACUCACCUAAUAGGGGAUAUACUGACAACAGAUCAAAAUUAGGUGAUAUUUAACCUAUCCAUGGAGGGUUUGGCUCAAGAGGAUGUUCUACCUCAUCUCAGAAAACGCACACUAGAAAAGCUAAUAGGCAAGCAAAGAAGGAGAUUUAUAAACUCUCCACUCCGAUGUCUGAAGUUCUCCAGCCCAUCAUCUUCACCAAUGAGGAUUUGAGAGGCUUGCACCUCCCCCAUGAUGAUGCGUUGGUCAUAUUUGUCAUAAUCGCCAAUUUCAACGUGUAAAGGAUCUUGAUUGACAACGGGUGUUCUAUUGACAUUCUGUUCAUCUCAGUGUUUGACAAGAUGAGGAUAGGGCAAGAUAGGGUCCACCCAUUUCACACUCCUCUAGUCAGAUUUGGAGGAAGCUCAAUACAUCCCCUUGGAUGGAUCAAACUACCCUUAACUUUGAAGGCAGAACCUCACCAGACCACAGUAUGACAGGACUUCAUUGUUGUGGAUUGUCCUUCGCCAUACAACUCGAUUGUAGAUCGACCUACCUUGGGAAAAAUCAAAGCCAUUACCUCUACCUACCAUUUGAUGAUGAAGUUUUCUACAUCGAUUGGGAUAGACAAGGUAAGGGGAGACCAGAAAGUUUCUAGACAGUGUUUCAUGACAGCAAUGAAAGUUAACCCCACUCUAAAGCCUAGAGCCCAAUAGCAAUUACAGAUAGACGAGGCCAAUAUGAAGGUGCUGAGAGAUGAGAUAAAAGACGCACCCAUUUUUGAUCCUCGAGACACGAAAAACACCAAGUCUCUAGAGGAAGUGGCUCUAAUUUCUAUACAUCCCUACUGUCCAGAUCACCAUGUCCUGAUCGAGACUAAAUUGAUUGAAGAGCUACGAAAUACCUUAGUAGGAUUUUUGAAAAAGAAUUAUGACAUGUUUGUAUGGUCAUCAAGUGAUGUUCCAAGGAUAGAUCCUCAGAUCAUCGUACAUAAGCUAUUCACUGACCCUGAUCAUCCACCAGUUUGCCAAAAAAGAAGGAAGUUUGCCCCUAAACGUUUAAAAGUCAUAGAGGAAAAGGUGGCUAAGCUCAUCAAGGCCAAUCUCAUUAGAGAAUCUCACUACCUAGAUUGGUCGGAUAACAUCGUCAUCACCCGUAAAAAGGGGAAAAGUGGAGAAUAUGCAUUAAUUUUACUGACCUGAACAAGGCCUACCCAUAAAGACAGUUUUCCUCUGCCAAAGAUAGAUUUAAUUAUUGGUACAACCUCCAAGCAUGAACACCUUAGUUUUACGGACACCUUCUCAGAAUAUCAUUAGAUCAAAAUGUAUCCUCCCGACGUAGAGAAAACUUCUUUCAUCACGGAAAGAUGAUUGUAUUGCUACAAGGUCAUGCCUUUUGGAUUGAAGAAUACAGAGGCGACGUACCAGGGAUUGGUCAACAAGAUGUUCAAGUAAAUGAUUGGAAAAAUAAUGGAGGUCUACAUAGAUGACAUGUUGGUCAAAAGCCUCAAAGUAGCUGAUCAUGUCACCCACUUAGAAAAAAUGUUUGGUAUCCUUCAAAAACAUCGCAUGAUGUUAAAUAUUUCCAAAUGCAUCUUUGGUGUUUCAUUAGGGAAACUCCUUGGUUUCAAUAUGACUAAACAAGGAAUUGAGACGAAUCCAACCAGAUUCAUGCUCUACUCAUGAUGAGCUCACCCAAAAACAUACAUGAGGUGCAGCAUUUGACCGGGCGAGUAGCCGCUCUUAACAGAUUUGUCUCAAAAUCGGUAGAUAAAUGUUUAUCAUUUUUCAAGAUUCUGAGAAAAAACAAAGCCUUUGAGUGGAUAGACGAAUCCGAGAUGGCAUUCCAAUAGCUUAAAAAGUAUCUUGGAUCGCCCCGCUUGCUCACUGUUCCUGGCAUGGGCGAGGAACUCAUCCUAUAUCUGUCCAUCUUGCCCACUACAGUGAGUGCAGUGCUUAUUAGAGAAAAAGACAAAGUUUAAAAUCCAGUAUACUUUGUCAUCAAAAUCCUCAUAAGAUUUAAAACUAGAUACUUGAAGAUCGAAAAGCUUUCCUAUGCUCUUAUGAUCUCCUCAAGAAAGCUUUGUCACUAUUUUUAGGCACACCUUAUUGCUGUACUUACAUAUCAGCCCUUAAAGCAAAUUCACCAAUGACCUGAUACCUCUGGGCGAUUACUCAAGUGGUUCAUUGAGUUGAGCGAGUUCUACAUCAAUUAUCGAAUAAGGAUGGCGAUCAAAGCCCAAGCGUUGACUAAUUUCAUAGCUGAAUUCACGUAUGACAUAGCCCAAGAUCUCGGAGGCCCCUAAAGGACAAAACUAGGAUGAUGACCUCGUCAGAUGGAAGCUAUUUGUAGAUGGGUCAUCCAACCAGUAUGGCUAUGCUGUAGGACUUGUUCUCCGAACUCCUUUAGGAGAGUAGAUGGAAUAUGUUAUACGUAUUGGGUUUAAAGAUACCAACAAAGAGGCCGAAUAUGAAGCUUUCCUCGUUGGGUUGAGGGUCGCAAUAGAACUAGGAGUAGAGUAUUUGGACGCCUAUAGUGAUUCUCAUCUCGUUGUAAAUCAAGUCCAAGGGGAUUACCUCACCAAGGACCUCUAAAUGCUGGCCUAUCUGGGCGAGGUAAAGGUUGUAUCAAUGAAGAUCAAAGAUAUCAAGAUUCGUCAAAUUCCUAAAGAAGAGAACAAAAAGGCUGAUGUCCUUGGCUAACCUAGCCUCAGCCUUCAAUAUCAAUCCGGACAAGAGUGUCCCUCAGGAGUUAUUGCCAAAUCCAAGUAUUGACAUUGCCAAAAUUGUCUAUUAAGCAGCGGCAGAUCCGACGUAGAUGGACAACAUCAUUGCAUAUCUUAAAGAUGGAAAACUACCAUCAGAUAAGCUUCAGGCACGACAGGUUUAGUAACGGUCAACUAGGUUUUGCCUCCUCCACGAAACUUUAUGUUAG